CUCUUCCUGCUGCCACGAGAAGAAGGAUGUGUUUGCUUCCCCUUUUGCCACGACCGACCGACCAUAAGUUUCCUGAGGCCACCCCAGACCUGCAGAAUUGGAUACUGGUUGUAGGAGAGCUGCCCAGUGUUUCUUCUCCUCCCACACACCCAGUUUUAAUGGAGUACUUAGAACCCUGUAAGUACCAGAUUGCAAAGAGAAGAAUGCUUGGGCCUCCUUGCACUGCAACCUUGAACUCCUGGGCAUUCGUUUCACAUGAGCAAGGCCCAUGUGAAGCAUACAUAAUGCAUGGAGAGAGUGAGAAGGUGGAAGGGUGAGGGAGCUAGCCAGCAAGACCCCACAGAUCCCUUCCCUAUAUGGAACUGGACAAUGGCCCUUUGGUCAUACCAACCAAUCAGAGGGAGUGAGGAAAAGAUGGAGCUAAAAGGAGUUACAUCCAUGUGCAUGAUCCUGUCUAGUAAUAAAAGUUUGUUAAUAAG
rnacentral:lncRNA from 1 species